rnacentral:piRNA from 1 species
ACACUAGAACAAUGUAAAGAGAGGCC